GAUUAGUUUCAAUGUUUUUUAAAUAAACAAUCAUCGUAAUAUUAUACAAUAAUAAUCACGCCACGACGCCGCUCCACCUUAAAUCAGUCGGUGGGUUUGUAUAUAUAAAGGCGUCCGAGAUCUCGAUUCCGGCAUAACGCAAUCUUUGUGCAGAUUUAUUCUUUGGUAAGUAUGAAAUGACAGUAAUAUUGUUUUAUUUUAAAUUAAUAAUAAUUUUUUUUUUUCAUUCACAGUUUUAACUUUUAUCCUCAAAAAACCAACCAAAAACCAAAAAUGGGCGCAGAAAAAGUAUCCAUGAACAUCGUCGUCGUCGGACAAGUGCAAUCUGCCAAGGCCAUCAAAUCGGUCGCCAAAGCUACACCAGCGACCAGCCAACUGAUGAACUGUUAAAUUCAUCCAGUCCAUACAUUGCAAAACUCAAAAAUGCCAUAGCCCAAACAGUACAAUAAUAUGUAAUUCAUAUUUCAUAUCAAUAUUGAAACCGCAAAAUAAAUCAGUCGUUUCCGAUAAACUUAA